UACGUAGGUCCCGAGCGUUGUCUGGAUUUAUUGGGCGUAAAGCGAGCGCAGGUGGUUUAUUAAGUCUGGUGUAAAAGGCAGUGGCUCAACCAUUGUAUGCAUUGGAAACUGGUAGACUUGAGUGCAGGAGAGGAGAGUGGAGUUCCAUGUGUAGCGGUGAAAUGCGUAGAUAUAUGGAGGAACACCGGUGGCGAAAGCGGCUCACUGGCCCGUAACUGACACUGAGGCUCGAAAGCGUGGGGAGCAAACAGG
rnacentral:rRNA from 1 species